AGAUGGAAAAAUUGAAGGACAAAAUAUAAAUGACUUUCCAAUGGUCUUCCAGGAAGAUGGUAACAAGUUCAGCGCAAACUCAGAACUCUCAACUUCCAGGAAUCAGAAAUUGAAGAGAAGGCUGGCAUAUGAUGAGCAAGGCUUCAUUUAUUGUAAUGGCUGUCAUGGGAGUGUCAUGUAUUGCUUGAUUUUCAUCUUGUGAAGAAACUUGCUUGACUUUUGACAUUUGCGUACAAGUGGAUGGAUGUGAUGAUAAACAACUGAACCAAUUUCUUUUACCUUGAAAGCUGCUGCCAAGUUCGAUCCUGCAAUGCAUGGGAAGUUAAUGGAAAGCUAUAUAUCAGUACCAACAGUGUGGUAACACAAGAUGAAACCAGGGAAUUCUCAGUGUCAGCUUUAAUUCCUCCAGCGAGAUAAGGUCUCUUCUCACUUACCGUCCAAAGUAUGUUUUAAAAAAAAUCAGGUUCCCAAGGUCAACCAUGGUUUGGCAUUACUGUGUUAAUUUCCGAACAAUAUAAUUGCAGAACAAACAAAGUUAUAGGUCCUCAUUCUGCAGCCUGAUCCAUGAAGGCAGAUCUAUGUGGAACCUCAUUGACUUCAGUGUCAUUUCAUGUAGAGAAUAAGGAUCUCCCCAAACAAAUCAGUUUGCCGGUUCCAUAUCUUAAUUAUUUGCACAGAAAUUCUGUUUGGGGCUUUUGGCUGCUACACAGUAUAACUAGGGACACCUGAGUCCAAUUAAGGGCUGCUUGUGUCUCUUAAAAACUCCUUUUCUGUUGAGAGAGAUGAGAGAGAAGCUGCAGCAGGGAGAAAAGGCUUGGGGAAGGAAGGAUGGGCACCCAGAAGAGAAGCUGGUAUAACAUGGCAACACCCCAGAGGGAAGACAAGGAAAGGGAGCUUUUAGUCACAUUUGUUGUAGAAAAGAGUAAAUCUGUUUGCACACCAGCAAGAGCCACAGAUGUUUUCUGGUAUUGAUCUUCAGCAAUAAUGAUUUUUAAGCAUUGAAGAAGUGCAUAUGGGGAUGUUGUGUGAAGGCUCGGGGGAAAAAACAUAGAAGAAACAAGAGGCUAGAAUUCCACGAAGACUGCCAGCAGUCGGCACAGCUUUCAUCUUGCACAAGUACGGUAGGCUUGUGUUUGCAAAACCUCAUGAUUUAUUUAGAAUUUUAAUUAAAGAAAAGAAGUUAUUGGAACAGCACCUAGCAUCUGCUGAGCAUGGCUAAUGAUUUUUACAACCUCAUCUGCAGGCAUUGCAUUAAAGGAGUUAACCAUGACAUGAGACACACCUGAAGCAAAUCAGUGAGGGAAAACAAACCUUGCCUGCAGCUAUCACUAAUACAAGAGAUGGUGUCUAUUUUUUAAAAAAAUCUUAUCCUAUUUGCAUACAAGUGUUGUAGCUUCAGGGCCCAAUCUGAAGUGCCCAGGAAUAAGCAUCAUUACAUGCUGAUGAGUUUGUGCAGCAUUUUGGCCUCUGGAUGUU